rnacentral:lncRNA from 1 species
UGGGAAGCCACACGGAAAGUGGCCACUAUUGAAUGGUGUUGUGGAGGGUAAAGAGGCUCUUAGGGAGGUGCAGAUCAAACGCUCUUCGUCUUCGUCAAAGCGCCAACGACUAGAACAUAAUAAAAGGAUUGCCCAACAUAACGAGUUAAUGAAAAGACAUGCACAAAGUAUGGUUGAUUGGGGGAAAUCUGUGCAGACUACAGUGGAGAGUAGCCUUGGUGGUGUGCACAAGUUUCUAAUGGUGUGUAUAUUUCUUUUGUGCUGCCAUUUUCUUUCUAUUGUAGCCACUUGACAUAACUUUCUCAUUUGUCUAAAAAAUUUCAGACCAUCGCAUCCCUUCAAGGAAUUCCAGGGCCUGAGAUUCCAUGCAUUGUUAUACCCCCACCUCCAGCUUUUCCAACUUUAACCACUUCAUCUCCGAUCUUUUCUCCAGAAAUGGUAUGUACCUAUGUUUUUUUAAAUGCAAUAGCACCAAAUAGGCUAAAUGAGAACAGAAAAGGAAUAUGUUGUGAGUAUAUCAGCAAAUGUGCAACACUGAGUGAAAAUUCCCAGAAUAGUGGUCGACAUAUGGUUGCACUUUGUUUUUUAUUUCAAAUUUUUGGCCAAAUAGUGCCUGAAUUGGUAUUUUAAUUUUACUUCUUAAUUGAUUUGGCAAAUAUGAUUGAGAAUUUCCUAGAAUACUAGGCAUCAUAUGGUUGUCCUUCUGUCAAUAUUUCAUAAUUUUUUAGGCAUUUGUUAUUUUGGUUCAUUUUUUUGCAAAAUAGGGGUUGAAUUGGUAUUUCCAUUUUAUUUUAUUUAGUUGGUUAGGAAAAUACGAUUAAAAUUUUCCAAGAAUACGAAUAAUGACAUUUGUGCAGCCCUCCACCGGCGAAUCAACACAUGAUGUUGAAAAUAUAGAUAAUACAUUGCGUGGAGCGGAAGAUGGAAUGUUUGGCGGCUUCUUUGAUGAAAAUGGUAAUGAUGCGA